UCUUUGCGUGUCUGAAACCGGGGCGCAUUUGUUGCGUUUUUGGAGCAUUUCUUUGUCUUUGUAUCUCCUCACAACUCAGCACAGGAUCCUCUCCUCCUCUUUUCCACACAUUAGGAUAUAUUUGUGAGACUAACAGGAUUAUCUUUUUUAUUCAUUUAGCUCCACUUGUAUGUUUGCAACGCUUUGUUUUUUUUAUUUAAUAGCAGAAUUGUGAAGUUGAUCUUUAUUAUUAUUAUUAUUAAUAUUAUUAUUAUUAUUAUUAUUAUUACCUAUUUUCUCUGCAGCGUGUCUGUUUUCCCUCACAGUCCAUGUAAUGGCACGGACGCACAGCGCCCCCCUGCGGAUCGCUCCCGUUUCCAUCCAAAGGAGAAAGGAACUUUUUUUCUAGUCAAGUUUUUUGCUUUCAUUAAAACAAACUUCUCUUCACUUCACAGCUCUCGGCCAUCCAAAAAGAAGCUCCGAUCGACACUCUGGACAUUUUUUCUAUCCAAAAUAAUACGCGUCUCGUCCAUUUUCAUGUUUUCUGAAUUUCGACCAACUUUCUGGCUGAUACCAGCGAUCAAGCAUAAAGAAGAGGUUGGAUGUGACUGGAAAAUCUUUAAAAGUUUCUCAACUUUUUUUUUUAAAGCUAACUUAGCAAAGAGAUGCUUACUUUGUGUACCUUCAUGUCUAAAGCUACUUUUGUGUUUCUAUAACGUGUUUUUUUUAGACUGACUGCAAAGAUGAUAAAAGAAAUAUUUUUGAGAAGCAAAUUAUUGAUCCACACUGUUUUUAUUGUGAGUACAGAUCAGCAAAGAGACCAAAAUGAACAGAAUAAAGCGAAUGAAAAGAAAUAUAAGGAAACCCAUCAUUUCUGUUGGUGCUACAAACAUUGAAUGUGCAAUAUUUUCUUCAAACAGUUGUUGGUCUGUUCUGUAUCUUUGAUUAUUGUUGCUGUUGUUUGGUGACAUAGCAGCUCAGCAUGUGGACUAAGAGUAUUUGGAAAUCCUAAAAAUGUUAUAUCCACAAGACAUGAAACAACUUCUUACUAUAUACUGAGAAAAUUAAAGUUGACUUUACACCAACA